GACGAACGCUGGCGGCGUGCUUAACACAUGCAAGUCGAACGGAAAGGCCCUGCUUUUGUGGGGUGCUCGAGUGGCGAACGGGUGAGUAACACGUGAGUAACCUGCCCUUGACUUUGGGAUAACUUCAGGAAACUGGGGCUAAUACCGGAUAGGAGCUCCUGCUGCAUGGUGGGGGUUGGAAAGUUUCGGCGGUUGGGGAUGGACUCGCGGCUUAUCAGCUUGUUGGUGGGGUAGUGGCUUACCAAGGCUUUGACGGGUAGCCGGCCUGAGAGGGUGACCGGCCACAUUGGGACUGAGAUACGGCCCAGACUCCUACGGGAGGCAGCAGUGGGGAAUAUUGCACAAUGGGCGGAAGCCUGAUGCAGCGACGCCGCGUGCGGGAUGACGGCCUUCGGGUUGUAAACCGCUUUCGCCUGUGACGAAGCGUGAGUGACGGUAAUGGGUAAAGAAGCACCGGCUAACUACGUGCCAGCAGCCGCGGUGAUACGUAGGGUGCGAGCGUUGUCCGGAUUUAUUGGGCGUAAAGGGCUCGUAGGUGGUUGAUCGCGUCGGAAGUGUAAUCUUGGGGCUUAACCCUGAGCGUGCUUUCGAUACGAGUUGACUUGAGGAAGGUAGGGGAGAAUGGAAUUCCUGGUGGAGCGGUGGAAUGCGCAGAUAUCAGGAGGAACACCAGUGGCGAAGGCGGUUCUCUGGGCCUUUCCUGACGCUGAGGAGCGAAAGCGUGGGGAGCGAACAGGCUUAGAUACCCUGGUAGUCCACGCUGUAAACGGUGGGUACUAGGUGUGGGGUCCAUUCCACGGGUUCCGUGCCGUAGCUAACGCUUUAAGUACCCCGCCUGGGGAGUACGGCCGCAAGGCUAAAACUCAAAGGAAUUGACGGGGCCCCGCACAAGCGGCGGAGCAUGCGGAUUAAUUCGAUGCAACGCGUAGAACCUUACCUGGGUUUGACAUGGAUCGGGAGCGCUCAGAGAUGGGUGUGCCUCUUUUGGGGUCGGUUCACAGGUGGUGCAUGGCUGUCGUCAGCUCGUGUCGUGAGAUGUUGGGUUAAGUCCCGCAACGAGCGCAACCCUUGUUCACUGUUGCCAGCACGUUAUGGUGGGGACUCAGUGGAGACCGCCGGGGUCAACUCGGAGGAAGGUGGGGAUGACGUCAAGUCAUCAUGCCCCUUAUGUCCAGGGCUUCACGCAUGCUACAAUGGCUGGUACAGAGAGUGGCGAGCCUGUGAGGGUGAGCGAAUCUCGGAAAGCCGGUCUCAGUUCGGAUUGGGGUCUGCAACUCGACCUCAUGAAGUCGGAGUCGCUAGUAAUCGCAGAUCAGCAACGCUGCGGUGAAUACGUUCCCGGGGCU
rnacentral:rRNA from 1 species